AUCGCUUCUCGGCCUUUUGGCUAAGAUCAAGUGUAAAAAUGUACUAAGUUAAACUUUGCCUUUUAGCAUUUGCACAGUCUUAGUAGACUUCUCUUUCUGUAGAUGCAUUGUCCCUAUUCAAACUAAUUUCUUUAAAAAUUAAAACAAAAUGGGGCCUUUUCAACGUUCCCAGGCCAGUGGUAUUACUAUUGCAUCACUUUUCCUAGAUUGAGA
rnacentral:snRNA from 1 species